GAGCCAGUGUUCACAACCAACAGGUUUCAAGCCUCCAGCAAUUGAGAGAAAAUAAGCAAAGUGGAACAGAGGGAAGUAUUUCUCACCUUUAUAAUCUCCAUGUGUGCUGUAGGUUAUUUGUUUAUGGAUUAGAAAAGUUGAAAUUUAAAUGGCAAGUGGCUACUUAAGAACCUCUGUGCACUAUUUACCUCUAGAACUCAGUUCCCUUAACUCUAAAUUCUGGGCAGUGAUUGCAAGCAAAUUCAUGUUUUGUUUGGUUCUUAUUAUUUUACUUAUUGAAUUAAGUGCCAUAUGAAGACAAAUUUAGAGAUUUGUAUUUAGCUCUUCUUGACAGAAAUAGUUCACUGGUAACAUCAUUUCCAAAUGGUUACAGUAUGUUUGGACCUGAUGAAAAGCUAUCGCUUUUAAACUUAGACCUAGACCAUAGUUAACCUGCUCAGAUGUCUUUCACCACCCCACCUCACCAAGCUAGAUUAAUGCCUGCCCUUCACAAGCAUUUGGGUUUUAAAUACCUCUUAUGAUUACUAAUAUCACUUCCAACUAUAGUAACCAUUAUUUUUGAUAUUGAAGUAUUCUUCCUUCUAUGCAGUUGCUUAUAAUCCCUUUAAAUUGUCCUCAUAUAUCAUCUGUUCAGUUUGUAAACUUCUGGGGUUCAAGGACAAUGCAGAUUUAAUUUGCCUUGUGCAGCAUGCUCCAUAAUACCUUGUGUCCAUGCUUUUCCAUGAUUUCAGUAGAUGUGUUUUCUUCUUGUUUCUUUUUGAAAACAUCAUCUUCAUCAGCUAUUUUAGCCAUCCCAUCCGCAUUGCAUUUACCAUUGCACCUCCCAGGCAGUUCCCCAAAGUUCAGGGCAUCUCAAGCCUUGUGGGAUGAAGACUUCUCAGCAAUCACAAUGAAUAUUUAACUUAAAUGUACACAAGUGGUAAGAUUUAUUAAAAUUUAAAUUGACCAACUGAUUUCAUCUAGUUCUGCACCCUGAUUCAUUUUAAUCUAUAGGCAUAUUUGCAAGUGCUAAUUUGCAUGGCCAAUACACAGGUGCACAUCCAUGCAUAUUUAUUUUAAGUAAUUUAGAAUGUUAAUUUUGUGGAUAUGAUAAUGCAAUUUUAAGUUUAGAAAAAUCAUGAUGUGGAAGUUUGGCAGCACUGGGACGCUUUAGUGUUCAACUAUACACAUAUGUAAUAUAAGUUACCAAAAAUAUCUUCUCUAAUAUAUAAAUAUUUAUAUUAUUUUAUUAUUUAGCAUAUACAAUUUAUAUGCUAUUUUUCACAUUAUGAUACUUCACUUAAUCCUCCCCACAAAUUCAUGAAAGAUGGUAUUUUCUAAAAAUGGGGGAUGGUUUCAAUGAGUGUAUCUCUUUCUUUUUUCUGAUGUCAGACUAUGAUACAAUAUAAAAGAGAUGAGAGUAGAGGCUCCCAAGUUGAAGCAAACUAAAAGGCUCUGAGUCUCAUUUAUUUUAUUUCACUCUCUUGCUCAUCCCAGAAGCCUAAGGGAACUGGAUGGAGUUCCAGGGCUUUUCAAAAAUCUGUUUGAAAUCACUGGAUUAGACAUUUUUUGGUGUUCUUUUAGACCAAUAUUCUAUGAACCUAGAUAUCACUAACAUGUAUCUUAGAUUUCUUUUGUGAUAUAAUUUCUUAUCAGUAAGUAUCUUCAAGAAUAUUUUAGCUAUCUUUUUUUUUCUGAGAACUGAACAAGAAUUCUGUUAAAUUGUCAUGAAUUCAUGAAUCCUUUUAAAUUCUUGCUGCUAAAAUGAAAUUUGCCAUUGGGCUUUAGGGUAUGCUUUUAUUCCCCCUAUCAUUUUUUGAAGGGGAUUAAUAAAACAUACCAAUAAGAUAAAUGAUUCUAUAUGUGCACAUUUCCCAGCUUAAACACUAGAGUUUCUGAAGUCCAGCUUUCCAAAUUUGAUCUGAAGGACAUUACGUCUUACUUACCAGCUCUACCAUUGCCUUUAUACCAUCAUAAAGACUUAAUGAUGUCCCAUCAAGUCACAUUAACAUUUCCCUUGAGCUGGUAUGAUAUGAAAGCUACCUAAAUCCUUUAGCAUUUUAUAAUCUCUCUUCCAUAACUAGUCUUACAUUUUAAAGCAAGUGAACAGCCUGUUUGAGGGGUGCAAAUGGGCAAUGUGAAGGCCAUAUAUUGACUGUACAAUAGAGCAUGAAAAUACAAGGGGGAAAAAAGCCAUGAAGAAGCUUAAGAAGGCACUUGGAGGGUAUCCAGACAAAAAAAUAACAUCUCAUGUGCCCCUCUGAGCCACCAUCAUGUUGUAUACCAGCCCAAGAGCCCAUGGCUUCUCUCUCCUUGCUGAAAUAUAGGCACCCAAGCUGGGGUGGCAGACAGGAGGAAAACCAUGAAAUUCAUUGGAGCAUGUAUGUUCGCACAAGAGCAUUGAUACUGGAUGAAAAACAUUCCCGCACUCGGUCUUGCUUCUCUCUUAAAAAUUGGGCAUAUUAAUAUUUUAUCUUCUUCAAGCCGUGGGGAAGGUAUAUAUUAUUGAUGAGAUCGGGUAUUGUAGAGCUUCAGAAUCUCUAUUUUCUCCAGGUCUAUUAUCUUCCCAGCAUUUUACAGUGAAGAGAGCCCUGGAAAGAGAAUGUUCCAUGAUGCCAGGGUACACUAGUAAUGGGAGACUAGACGGAAUGACUAUUUUUCAUUUCUGUUCUUCUUGUUACUGUCAUCCUUUUGUCCUCUUCUUCUCUCCACUUCCUUCCUCCUCCACGGCUAGAAGUCAGUAAAAGGAGGGAAUGGUUGCUUUGCAGAGAGAUUUCCAGAGCUUUUAAUAGAACAAGGGGCUGUGGGAGAUAGCUACACUGAGACCAGCCCUGUGCCCCUCUCAGCCUUCCUCCCCAUCAGCUGAACUAUGUGAAAAAAUAAUGAAGAGAUGGACAGUGCCUUGACAGAAGGGCAGAGUGCACGGUGCCUGUUCUGUCCCUUGUUGUGUCACUUCUCCUUUCUUUUGAUGAAGGAGUAUGUGAUUGUUAUUGCCUAUCAUAUAUUGAUCUAGUUUUGGACAUAACUGAAACCAAGCUUGAAGUCUUGAUAUCGGUUCUUAGGUACUCAUUUCAUCAUCUAGCCACUUAAAUAUCUUGUCAGGCAAACACAGAGCAAGAGGGAUGAACUCCAUGGAUUUCCCUUUCCCUUACGAUUGCCUAAUGCAAGGUUCCAAUACCAUUCUGAGUAUAUAUGUUGUACAAAACCAUUUUCUCAGAUAAUGUUUUUCAGCAGUCAUUCCUGUCCUCAAUCUACUACUUCCUAGCUGCUUAGAGUUGGAAUAUGAGCUAAAGUGGGUAAAAGAAUGUGAAAGGACAGGCUUUGCAUUGCAACCUCCUGUUUGGAUGCUUGGCAGAGCAGUGGUGGGCACAGGGCCACAGGAGGAUGGGUGAUUGUUAUUAUCAUACUCUCAUCUGCAAAGCAACUCCAUUUCUCUCUAUCCAUCUGUGCCAAUCACCAUCACUUUGCAGCCACUUGAAUGUGAGGAUGGUUUAGGAACCUCUGCAAUGCUGUCCACAUGGCUUAGGAUCCAGACAUGCCAUUGUAUGUAGCCAGUAUUCAGAAGACCUCUAAAAAUAUCUAACACCUUUCCUCUGGAAAAUUAGUAAAAAGAGAUCUGUCACAUUUUCCUUUGGUUCACCCUAUCUUUAAAUUUAUUGUUAUCUAAAUCCAUGAUUGCAGCUAUAGUAAAACAUUAUAGCCAUAUUUUCCCCCAUAUUUAAGAAAAGUGACAGCUUGAAUUUUAUAUGCAACUCACAUGGCUCAAUGUAAACAAUUCUGAUGCCCAGGGUAGAGGGGGAUUGAGAAUAUCUAUAUAUCUGUCUAGUACUUCUCCAUGUUCAGUAUUUUUUUCCAACUUGGACAAAUCCUUGUCUUAACCACAGACUGAAAAUUAUUAAAAAUCACACAGAGCUUAUGAGUGGUCAUCCAGCCAAGUCAGGUGGUCCCAUUUUUAGGCCCCACAUAUUUCCUAACUUAUUUACUCUUACUAACUCACAAAGAUGCAUGGUUGUCCUUUUCAUGACUCUGCCCUUGUUGUUAAUUUAAUUUAUAAGGAAUCCAAAUCAGCACUUAUGUAAGUAAAUUAAUUGCUUAAUAUAAUUUCUCAAUCAUAAAUCUCACACCCUCCACAUCUUGAGAUCAAUAAAUAUUUUCCUUGCAUAAUACCCUCAUUUUCACAACUUGAGAAUGCUACAGCUGCCAGCAGGGUCCCCCUAUGGGCUUAAGAACAUUAGUCAGCAUGACAGGCUUCAUCCUAGUUGACAAAGGUUUCAUCCUCUACUUUAAUCCACCUAUUCUUUUAUGCUUUUGCUUUGUCUUUUUCACUUCAUCAUCUCUGCUAGUGAAAUGGUGCUAAUUGCCAAUAAGAGGGCUUAUCCAUGAAAGGGCCUUUUUGAGGUCCUGACAAACUUCUAUCCUGCAGAAAGAUACAAAGGAAUUAUUUGGAUGUGCAACAGCUGCCUGGCCUCUUUUUUCCGCAAACUGAAAUUCAUGUCCCUAUGUUAAGAAUUAAUGCUACUGAUUCACCACUGAUUUUGAAACUUAAUUAUAUGGAUGUUUAGUUUUAUUUGUAAUUAAAUGAUUCAAAAGGAGUGAAUGUAUCUUAAAUUUCCUCGGUAUCUUGAAAAUUAUAACUUAAUAUACUUAGGUUUUUUUAAAAAAUAUGUAUUUGCUGGAGUAAAGGAUUUUAGUUUAGUUUUUAUCCCCAAAGUAUCAUGUUUACUUGAAUACGAUCUUGGUUUGUGAAGCUAAACUUGAGUCCAGCUUACAUCAUACAUGGUCUUUUAAAUCAGGCAAUGCACAUGUCCAUGCAAGUCAGAAGCAAAAGUAUUACCCAGAGUCAGGAAGAAUAUAGAUCAGUAGUGUAGCUGCUUUAAGGGUAGGAGAAUCCUUGAGAGGUCAGGAAUUGUGAUAGGCCCUUGAUGUCAGCACAUAGGUAGGAUACAAUGGAUGGAUUUAAUGCCAAUAAAAACAAAUGGUCAGUUGGUCAGCUACAGGGACAGAAUGCAAGGAAGAGUGGUUAUGGGGUGCUCACUGUAAGAGAAAGUCCUGGAAAAUGGCUCUCACACCUCAUACUCUCCUUUAGCAGUUUGUUAAAGACAAUGGACCACUCCUGGAAUGAUGCUUUAAUACGUAAACAAAAAAUAGAGAAAUUCAGAGAUGAUCAGGUAGAUGUACUUCCCUCUUCCCCUACUAAGUUCAAGUAAACACUGGACAUUAUAUAAAGAAACAUAAGACUCGAGGGCAAAGAAAAGAGGGAAGACCAGUUAGGCACCUUGAGACUAAAAAAUCAACAUUGUGGUGAAUUCCCUGGGCCAUUAAAAAAUCUCAACAAAUUCGAAAGAAUUGAAGGCAUUGCAUGGGUUUUCACUGACUAUGGUGGCAUCAGAUUAGAGAAAAAAGGAGAAGGGAAAGAAGGAGAGGAAGGAGGAGGAGACGGGAGUAGGAGGAAAAGAACGAUAGAGGAAGAAAUCAAUAAUAGAAAGAUCACAUGAAAAAUUCCAAACAGUUGGAAACUACAUAACAAACUCAAACAAUCCAUGGGUCCAAAAGGAAGAAUUUUUUAAUGCAUUGAUUUGAAUGAAAAUGAAUAUGCAACAUAGUAAAAAUUGUGGAACAUGGCUAGAACAAGUGAUAAGAAGGACAUUUAUGGCACUAAAUGCUUAUUUUUAAAAAGCAAAACAUCUCAAAUCAAUAAUCUAAGCUCCGACCUAAAGACCCAAGAAAAAUUAGAGGAAAACAAGUCUAAAAUGAGAUGAAAAUAAUAUUCAGUGUUCUGUCGAUUUCUGCUACACAGCAAAGUGACCCAGUUUUACAUAUAUAUACAUUCUUUUUUUCACAUUAUUCUCCAUCAUGUUGCAUCACAAAUGAUUAGACAUUGUUCCUAGUGCUAUAUAGCAGGAUCUAAUUGUUUAUCCACUCCAAAUGCAAUAGUUUAAGAUCUACUAACCCAAACUCCCAGUACAUCCCAUUGUAAAUCAACUACAGU
rnacentral:lncRNA from 1 species